rnacentral:pre_miRNA from 1 species
AGGAGGAACAACCAUAGUGGCCGGGCCAGCUCUGGAGCCCUGGAUUCAGCUCCCGCAGUAACUACGGAGCUCUCUCUUUGCAGGGGCCUGGAAGCUCUGGGGGCGG